GGGGAAAUUCCAAGGGUUUAAGAAGAUUUGCACCAGGAUCCAGGACAGAUACCAAUAUAUUUCUUAUUAUGCAACAGGGCUCUAACAAGGAGAGAGCUGACAGAGAGUUAGGAAGGUGAGGCACAAAGCAGUUGAAUUAGGGCCCUGCAUUGUUUUCUCUACCCUAUAGCCUACCUGGAUCACAAACAGCUGCCAGGCUAGAUGGGAAUCUCCCAGGCAAGAGACCCCUAAGCUUUCUGCUGCUUUCUGGGACCCCACUUGCCCAGGGGGGCCCAGGUUGAGCUCCCCAAGCCCAUUUCCACAGAAAACGAGGCAUCUGUCAGAAAAGCUUCCAUAUCUCAAAAAACCUAGAGGAACUUGUACAUUUACUUGCAAAAAGGCCAGGGGCUAAUUAAUACAGCAAGCGUCCUUAUGUCUGGCUGGAAUUCUAGCUCAGUGUAUUGGUGAUGAACGAUAUCCUACUGAUUAGAAACAUUGGCUCAUUCAUUUAUGCAUCUUUUAUUUUAUUAUUUUUGAAAAUUUAUUUAUUUACUCUAUUGUUUUUUUUUUUUUUUUUUUUGGAAGAUUAGCCCUGAGCUAAGAUCUGCUGCCAAUCCUCUUUUUGCUGAGGAAGACUGGCCCUGAGCUAACAUCCGUGUCUAUCGUCCUCUACUUUAUAUGUGGGACGCCUGCUACAACAUGGCUUGAUACGUGGUGCAUACGUCCACCAGCGGUGCACUGGUCCUGGGAUCCAAACAAGCGAACCCCAGGCCACCAAAGUGGAAUAUGCGAACUUAACCACUGCACCACCGGACCAGCCGCUUGUGCAACUUUUAAAUAACUCACAGGAAAAAGAUUUUUGCUUCCACAAGGUGUUCAGCAAACAUGCUAAGGCGACAGAAAUGUCUAGUUGGUCACGACAUGCGACGCUGACCAUUCAACUGAUGACAGCAGCGACCACGCCCACCUGAGCGACUGGCCCCACAGCACAAAGGGGGUUUGCGGGAACACACCGAACCACACGGCAAUCAGCAACCUGAGGUAGGUCUCUUUACAGUACAAAAAACUUCUACACCAGUGUGAGACACUGAUUAGCAAGAGCUGCUUAAAGUCGCAGACUUUGGAGAAAGAGAGAGACUGUGCGACAACUGCAGUGAGAAAGGAAAACAGACCCACAAAAUCCUGAACCCCGUCACUGAACUGUGGAGGUGUGGGACCAGGCAAAUGAAAAAGUACCACCGGAGAAAGCAGCAGCUGGCUCCAGGGUGUGGAGCCAACAGGUCUAGGAGCUGGAGAGCUC
rnacentral:lncRNA from 1 species